CAUCUGGGGACCCAAUGUUGAGAAUCCUUGCUUUAAACAAACUUUCUUUUCCAUAUCAACAUGUAAUAUACAACCCUUUAAACAAACUUUCUUUUCCAUAUCAACAUGUUUAUAGCAUCCAGCCAUGUAUCAUCCAAAGGUAGUGCUUUCCUCUCAAACCCUUUGGAGUUUUAUAAAAAUUGAGUCAUUUCAUUUUUCCCCUUAACAUCUUGCUCAGGCUUUUAAUCUGAUGGCAAUGUAAUGAAAUUUCCUUCUGUAUUCUCUCUUGACAUUCUGCUUUCAAUCAUUCCCUUCAUUUUACUGAAUAGCAAACCUUAUAAUAUUAUCUAUCUGGUUGUUUGAUAGUCCUAUUGAGUUAAAAAGCAAUCAUGGAGCAUUUCUACCAAUACAUCUCAAGGCCUUGCUGUUCCCAUUAGUGAAUGCCAGUCAACACUUGAAUAAUUAGCGUCUGCCGUCAGUGCACAUUUUGGUCUUUUAAAUGGUUUUAAUGCAAGUGCUUAAAGCACACACAAACUCAUACUUUUACAUCCAGCAUGCUCCUAGUUCUUUGGGGUUGUGCCUCUUGUAAGAAUCUGGCAUUCUAAUCUUUCAGCAAACAAAACACAUGAAUGGUGUAUUGCAGUCGUGUUUAACCCUAUCUGAGCUGAAGGAAAGGUUCCCUCUCUGGUGCCUUCUGGAUAAAGCAGUAUUGGGAAUGCUGCUCCUGCCCGGCCUGUUAGGGCAUUGGCGCGAGAAUGGGGUUGUGCCCUGCCGUAAGGGAGGUGAGAUGUGUCAUGUUAACACCUGCAUGGGCAGUGCAUCUCUUGUGUGCCCAAUAUAGACUAGCCCUGCCUGCCCACCUCCAUUCCAUGUUCAGCUUGGCACCUGUCUGCCCACCCGCCUGUUGAACAUAGGGGAAUGGGCAACUCCCUUUAUGGAGCCAAGUAGAGUUUUUUUUGUUUCCAUCCGAUUGGCCUGGGUGGAGAGGUUUUCUUUUCUUUUCUUUUCUUUUCUUUUGUUGCCUUCUUCCCACUGAGAGUGGGCCAGGGCCUUUAAGUUAGUAGUGGGUUGCUUUUAACUAGUGUAGUUGGUUGUACUCACAGGUGAGUGAGUGGGCCUUAGACAAAUUUGAGUGAUUGGGGAUUUCAUGGAACAAUCCCUCAGGGUUUUGUGGCCUGGGGCAGUUGGGAAUGGAGCCUCUUGUGGGGGAGGGGGGUGAUGUGUGACCUGGGCAACCCUCCCUCAACACAGAACACUGUGUGGCAAGGAGGAAGUGGGGUCUGAUGACUACUGAUGAUCACCAAGCUCAGGUGAUUUGUCCAGCAAAGGAAUAAUGACACUAUUGAAGGGCUUUAUUCCCUGGGGAAGGAUUUGCCCACACUGAGUUUUAGUUAGUUACAAAACGUUGCCUCCUUGCUGAUGCCUUGAAUAAAUGGCUGGGAAUGAUGGGAGUUGUAGUUCAACAACAGCUGGAGAGUUGCGCAGAUUGUGAGCCCUUUGGGAACAGUGAAUCAUCUUCUCACUCCUUCUGUGCUGUAAACUGCUUUGAGAAUGGGAGCCGAAAUGUGGCAUAUACAUAUUUGAAAAAAUUAUCAUUGGUUGGGAAUCCUGAACAUGGGCUCACAUACUGCGCAAGGAAAUGCAGCCUGUUGGAGCACCACCCAUGCUCCUCCAUUUUUAUAAACACCACUGAGAGUGUUGCACUAUAGGGCAGUUCUGCCCCAGUGUAAAGUUAUGCAAAUGCAGUUGCACAACACGACAUCCGUUGGAAAUAGUGGGUCUUGCACUGUGCUACUGCACUGGUAUAACUUUAUGACAAGGCAGAACUGCCCUAUAGCGCCACACCCUCAAUGGUGUUUACUCAGAUGCAGGGGUACAGAGACUACCAUCUCUUAAAUGUCCUUAUCCUCCAUCCAUCACAGACCUGUAGUUACUGGGCUUAGCUUUAGUCUGCAGUAUAGCUGCACUCUUAAGAUGUUUCUGACUAGCAGAAUCUGCUUUUUAUUUAGAAUCUUGGAUUGCUGCGCUGGUGGAGCUGAAAUACAAUACUGAUGCUGCUUUGGGGCUAGCCCUGGCUGGAUUGUGUGCCUUCUUAAUUCCUCCAUCCUACCCAACCUGUCUUGUCUCUGCCCUUGACUGAUGCCUCCCUUGAUGAUCUGCUAGGACUGAUUUCCCCAGCCUCAUUUGGCCGCCGCCAGUGAUGUCAUCACAAAUUCAGAUGUGUGGGCGUUCUUCAUGACAGCCCCCAUAGCCACAUCCAUCCUGACAGCCAUGCCCCAUGGUUCUGCCCAUCCCAAUGGACAUACCCCCCUCACUUAGAUGCAAUAAUUUGGGGGAUUCCUGUUACAAGCCAACCAUGUAGACUCUAGAUUAUGUACGAGAAUGAAUGACAGCGUAUGCCCACUGAAAUGCACUGGUUCUUUCCAAAUGGCCAUUCAGAAAUUCAAUGCAUUCUUCCAUGGCCAUUUGGAAGGAACCAGUGCAUUUCAGUGGGCAUUCCCUAUCAUUCAUUCUAAGAUGUCCUGACCUUAGUCUACCAUAGGACUUGCAUGCUGACAGCCCCAGGUUCAAUCUCUUGCAGCAUCUCCAAGAAGGGCUUCCUAUGUUCCUAAGACAGAAAGAAUGAUAAUAAACAGUUGGAAUAGCAAGAGACACACAUUAUUUCCAUGUAGAAAAUCAAAGGCUUUGCAUCCCUGCUGAGACCCUGGCGGGGGGGGGGAAGUACCGGGACUAUGUCCCUGGAGCUCUACACCACUGGCUGCUGCUCCUACUACAGGAACAGAAGUGUAGGGAGGCUGGCGGUGGCCUGUGUGUGGCCAUGGUGGCGACCCCCUGGCCCCACCCCCCAUGCCUGAUGUCAGAUGCAGGGGCUGUCUGACAUCAGACAUGAGGGAUGUGGUCUCCCUCCCAAAUGGGACCACAUGGCCCUGUUUGGAAGGGAGAUCCCUGCGUUGGGCAGCGUGGGCCAGAGCGACUCUCCUUGCCUUAAAGGCAGGGAAAGCUAUUCCGGCCAUGCUGCCAAUACAGCGUGGGCCGAUCUCUCUCCUAAACAGGGCUGCGUGGCCCCGUUUGGGAGGGAGAUCGAUCAGCCCCACUGCAUUGGCAGAGAGACCAGGAGUGGCUCUCCCUGCUUUUAAGGCAGAGAGAAUCACUCCAGCCAUGCUGCUAAUGCAGUGUGUGCCAAUUUUGGCUCCAAUCAGGGCCACACGACCCCGUUUGGGACUGAAAUAACGCCCCCUGCAUCUAACGUCUGAUGCGGGGCUGUGUCUGGGUCCGCACUCAUGGCCCCUGAUUGGUGGCAGCCCGGGUUCUUUGAACCCAUUCGCCCAAUGAUGGCUCCGCCCCGUACAGGAGCUCCUGAUGCAGCUUCCCCUCCUUCAUGGCAGGUAUGGGAGAGCUUCCCUCCUGUUCCAAUCCGCUCUCCCUGGCAGGAAAUAGCUGGUUUCUGUAUCACCAUGAGCAUCCAGUGACCCACUUCCUUUGGAGAUGUGCCUUUGCAUAACUGAGGUUUGUUAGAAGAUAUUGACGGGGGAUUCCCGGUAGGUGACUGGCUGACUAAUAUUUAUGACACAGCACCUUGUAUGCAUUGCACUACCUGCAAACUCUGCCAUGUCUGUGGAAAUAAAAUAAACUUGCACACACAUUUCUCUUCACCAUUGCUCCUUUAGUUUGCUUAACUUUCUAAAGAAUGUGCAAUAAGAUUUCCUGGACUGUAAGGCAAUUUAAACAGUAAUCACUGAGCAUUUCCUGGGGAUUUCCUGGAGAUUAAUGCCAUGGGUGAAUGCCCCUUGGUUGAGUCUUGCAUCAUCGGUCCCUCCCAGACAUCCAUUAAUCUCCAGAAAAUAUUCUCUGCCUGCCUUGGUUAUCAUCACUGCUUGCAUCAAUAUGCAAUCAUGUCCACCUUCCUAAGGCUAAAUCCUCCCUGCUCAACAGCAGCCAGGUGCAAUAUUUUUUCAGCUGCUGUCAAAAGUUUUUCCUUCUAGACAAGUCCCUAUGACAGGGAUGGCCAGUGUCUGUGUUCUAAGGGGCUAAAUGGUCUUAUUGUUAGGAAAGGACCAUAGCCCAUUGGAGGGCUGGGGCUUUUGAUGCCAUAGGCAAAGUUUGAUGCCGGCAGUCACCCAGGCAAGCAAUGCAGAGCCUCGGCUUUAAUCUGAGCAGUGCAGGCUGCACAUUUCCAAGGCCAAAUGAUCAACUCAUGCAGGUAACCAGUGAAUGACUAGUCCACACUGGUUUGAGGAUACAGUGGAAGAGUUCCCAGUCUGUUAUGGGGGCAAAACUCUUAACACUUCAGAGAUGAAAAGAUGCUGCUAUUAAUUUGGGAAUCUAGUUUGAGACCAUUUCUUUUUGGAAAUGGACGCUGAGGCAGGCAACUCAUAUUCAAAGGAGGGAGUGCAGUUUUGAGACUGGCUGUUAUUUGCGAGCUGAGGUGCACUGAGCAAAGGAUACUCUGUAUUUUGGGGUGCAGAAUGUGCAGGCCCUUUGUGGAGCAGGCUGCAGUAUUAUAUAUUAUAAUCUUACGCCACUGUGCACCAAUGGGGUGCAGCCCUUCAGGGGUACAAUAUAAAAGGGAGAGAAAUAAUAAUUGGCAGAGCUAUAUUCUGGCGCAGUUUAUGCACACACACCCUACAAAUUGGGGCCCUAGACAAUGGCCUAGGUUUGCCUAGUGGACAGGCUUAUCUGGCCCUGCUCAUUGGUAGAGUGCUUGCUUUGUAUGCAGAAGGUCCCAUGUUUAAACCCUGGUAUCUCUAGGGUGCUUUCCAGACUAGCUGCUGGAACAGCAGCAAAUUGCCUCCAUUCGGGCAAGUCGCAUUCAGAUCGUAAACAGUAGGGGGAGCAGUCUCGCAGCAACUAACAACCUCCCAAACCAGCAACUUUUCCAUGCUGGAUAUACAACAUCCUUGCUCUGUAUUGCAGUGAUUACAUUCACAACAAGACACUGGAAAUGUGAAUGGCACCCUGCUGUCCGCGUAGGGACUGCGGUGUCACGAUGCAGGAAGUAUGGAAGCACAUUUCUGAGAUCCGACGUGACCCCGUUGAAGGGUAUAGUCUGGAAAGCGCCUAGGUUGAUCUGCGAGACACCCAUGAGGAAUUGCUUCCAAUUAGUGUGAUAAGUCAUGCAGAUAUUCCCAUUCAAUCAGGAACCACACAGUCAAAGUGAUGAUGUCACAAUAUACAUAUUCAAUCAGAUUUGGUUUUGUGAUGAUGUCAGUGAGGUCUGUUACUGGAAAUAAGCAAAAGGGGGAAAUUCAACAUUCACAGAAUGCCAUCUUUAGCAGUGACGGCUGUUUUCCGAAAUUUACACUCAGAUUCAUGAAGAGUUUGGCGCUUUUGAGAACUGCUUCAAGAAGCGUUCUUUUGAAUUAAAAAUCAUCAACCAAAUGGGGCAAGGGAUGGAGGGAAGAAACAUGAAUGUAUCUCUAGGAAAAUGCCAUAAAUCUGCAGUCAAAAUGAAAGAGCAAUGUGGAAGGAACAGCCUCAGGCAGGCAAGUGGUGUGUGGAAUGUUUGAUAGCUCCACUAUAGAGGCAUUUCUGCAGUAUUGUAUCCUGGAGCACAAACAGAGGGAUUUUGAGGAAAAUAAAUGACAAUGCUGAGAGUGACCUGGAGCUGGAGAAGCAAAUAAGAGAGGCGUCAAAGAGAGAGAGGGCAGUAAUAAUGGGUGACUUCAACUACCCACAUGUUGACUAGGUAAAUUCACAUUCAGGUAAUUUUAUUUAUUAUAAUUUAUUAUAAUUUAUUUUAUUUUAUUUAUAUACCACCCUUCCAAAAAUGGCUCCAGGUGGUUUACAUCAAAUAAAAACAAUUAAAAUCAAUUAACAGUUAAAAUCAAAACUAAAUCAUUUAAACAAUUAAAAUCAUUUAAAAACAGCAGUAAAUUUUUUAAACCAUAAAUCUAAUUAAAAGCCUGGGUGAAUAAAUGCAUCUUCAGUGCCUUUUUAAAAGUUGCCGGAGAUGGGGAGACUCUUAUUUCAACAGAGAGUAUAUUCCAAAGUCCAGGGCAGCAAUGGGGAAGACCUAUUCCUGAGUAGCCGCCAAAUGAGUUGGCAGCAACUGCAGGCAAACCUCUCUAGAUGAUCUCAACAGGUGGUGGGGCUCAUGGUGAAAAAGACAUUCUCUUAAGUACCUAGGACCUAAGCUGUUUAGGGCUUUAUAGGUAAUAACCAGCACCCUGUAAUGAAAGAGAGGCCUUGUAAUGAAAGAGAAGCCAAAUUUCUAGACAUGCUAAAUGACUGUGCCUUAGAACAGUUAGUUGCGGAACCAACCAGAAAGAUGGAGACCUGGGACAUAAUCUUGAGUGGUACCCAGGACCUGGUGUGAGAUAUCAGACUUGCAGAACCAUUGGGUAGCAGUGAUCAUAGUGUGAUCCAAUUCAGCAUAUAUGCAAGUGGAGAAUUGUCAAGGAAGUCCAACAGAGAUGUACUGGACUUCAGAAGAAAGUUCUCAAAAAUGAGGGGACUGAUAAAAAGGAAGCUGAAAGGGAAAGUUAAGAGGGUCAAAUAACUCCAGAAAGCAUGGAACUUAUGUAAAACCACAAUACUAGAAGCUCAGUUGGAAUGUAUACCAAGAAGGAGGAAAGGUACCACCAAGUUCAGGAGGAUGCCACGCCAGCAUGGCAAACAAGUAGAGUCAGGGAAGCUAUAAAAGGGAAUACUUCCUUCAGAAAAUGAGAGUCCUGCCCUAAUGAAGAGAACAGAAAGGAACAUACUCUGGCAGGGGAAAUGCAUGGAGACAAUAAGGGAUGCAAAAAGGGAGGAGCCUAUAGCUAAAAGUGUCAAGGGGAAUAACAAAAACUUGUUAAAUUUAUCAGAAGUAGAAAACUGCCAGGGAGGUGGUUGGCCCCUUAGAAGAUGAGGGCGUGAAAGGGAAGGGAUUAUUAAGGAUAAGGAGAUUGCAGAGAAGCUGAAUGAGUUCUUUGCAGCUGUCUUUGUGGCAGAGGAUACUGACCAUAUACCCUCUCUGGAAUUGAGCUUUUCAGGUUUAGCGGCUGAAGAACUGGGCCAAUUGGAGGUGAUGCGUGAGGAUGUUCUAAACUGUCUUGAAAAACUAAAAAUUAACAAAUUGCCAAGGCCAGAUGACACCCACCCAAGAGUUCUGAAAACUCAGAUGUGAAAUUGCUGAUCUCCUAGCAAAAAUAUGUAACUUGUCCCUUCAGUCAAGCUUUGCAUGUACCAGAGGACUGGAAAGUAGCUAAUGUGACUCCGGUUUUCAAAAAGGGAUUCAGGGGUGUCUGGGAAAUUACAGGCUGGUCAGCUUAACUUCAGCGCCAGGUGCUCUCCUCUUGGCUUUUGUGAGCUGCACAUGAAUAACUCACCGCAGGGUGACAGCCAACCACGUGGAACCUUUUACAGUUGGUGGCUGCGAUGUGUACACUGGUCAUUAAGCCCAAUUGAUUGCUACGGGACUCGUGUCUGAUUACUUUCUGAGCAGACUUCCUUGAAACAACGGGUCACUUAUACAUUCCGGAGAAUCAAGUGGUAAAGCUGCAUCUGUAUAAUUUAGGAAUUAGAGAGAGACCGAGUCAGGUCUCCAAGGUCUCCAGCAGGAGAAUUUCCCAGCCCUACCUGGAUAUGUCAGCAAGUGGGUCUUCUGCGUGCAAACAGAUGCACUUCCACUGAGCUAUGGUCCCAUCCCCUAAGGGGAAUAUAGCAAACAGCGCUCACAGGCCAUUCAGAGAAGGCAAAGGGAAUUAAUGAAUGAGGAAUGACUCCCAGCCAUCACCCUACUUCUCCUGCCAAGCAGCUGCCUGAUCAAGGAGGAAGCCCAUCCGCCCAAGUAAUUCAUCACCUAGGAUAUCUCUGAUCUCAGCUUUAUCCAUUCAUGAUCUCCUCCUAGGAUCUCUGCUUCAUGUUCCUCCCCACUGUUUGCAAUGGCUUAAGGGAAAAGGCAGAGCUGACAUAAAAGCUGAAUUUCUACAUGUCAGGGUGCUGAUGAAGCCAAGAAGCAAGGUCAGAAAGAAAGGACAACCCUACACUUGAACUUUUUUCAGCUUUUUCAACUGAUUGGUACCUGGGUGAUAAUGACAAAAGACCCCGCCUAUGUAAUUUGGUUUGUCAGUUAGACAGUCCACAAAUUAGUCCGCUUGUGCCUCAGAUGUUCACAUGGCCACCAUCUUGAAAUUGAGUGGAUGACAUCAUCACUCACUCUGCCAUUUGGGCAUCCCUAUGUUUGCAAGUUAGACCACUUACACCUCAAAAGUUUAUGCAUUCGCCAUCUUGGAUCGGGGUGGAUGACAUCAUCACAAACUAUGCCAUUGAGGUGUCCCUAUGUGUCCCUACAACUGUACUCGAUUUGGUUCAUAUUGGUCCAGGCGUUGCAAAGUUGAUGGGUUGGUGGGGGGACACAUGGACCAAAGACACACACACAGAAUGCCACAGAAUGUGGUUGCUCAACUCUGAGGGAUCCAAGGUAGGCUUCUUCAGAAGUGGUCUAAUAAUUGCCUCCUUAAGACGCAUUUAUAAUUUCUACCUGGCCCUCUACAACCACUGCACUGGCAGAUAGUAUAAUCCAUGUCGGGCAAGGGUCAAGAGAACAGGUGGUAGGCCACACCGUUCCAAUCAGCUUGUCCACAUCCUCAGGAGUCACAAACUGGAACUGAUCCAACCUAAUUACACAAGAGGAGUUGCUGGACACCUCCACAUCAGACACUGAAGUAAUUGUAGAGAUGGCAUCUAAGUUGGUCUGAAUACAAAGAUUUUUUCCAUUGAAUUCAUUAAACACAUCAGAGCCUGGUAAUCGAUGGUUUCAGAUUCUGAUUCAAGGGAGAAGGGGCACAUACUAGCCCUCUCACAACCCUGAACAACUCCGCUGGACGUGAUCUUGUGGCUGCAAUAUGGGCAGAACAGAAUAGCUUCUUUGCCUGAGCAUAGGUCUUCAAAUGUGCUCUAUGUUGCAAUCUGUAGGAUUCGAACUGAGUCUUUCUCCACUUGCGCUCCAGGCAUCUACCUCGCCACUUCAGCCUCCAUAGUUCUUCCGUAUACCAAGGGCCCAGUUUUGAAGCAGGUUGGAGAGGACGCUUGGGAGCAAUCAUGUCUACUGUCCCAGUGAAUUUGCUGUUCCAAUUCUCCACCAGGGCAUCAACAGGAUCACCGGCAGAGCCAACACUAAAUCCCUCCAAGGCUUCUUGAAAUCCUAUGGGAUCCAGUAACUUUCUUGGGUGGACCAUCCUAAUAGGUCCCUAGCCCCUGCGAAGUGAUUGUGAGUCCAACUUUAACCAGAUGGUUAAACCAGGUGGUCUGUCCAUGACAAUGGGGAAAUCACAGGAUUCCCCACUCAUGGAACACCACCCUGAUCAGAGUGAAAGACCAAAUCAAGCGUGUGACCAGCAAUGUGUGUCGGUCCUGAGACCACUUAGGAUAGGCCCAUAGUUGUCAUGGCCGCUAUGAACUCUUGAGCUGCCUUGGACAAAUUGGUCCCAAAAUGAACACUGAAGUCCCUGAGCACCACAAGUCUGGGGGACUCCAACACCAAGCCAGAGACCAAGUCCGUCAGCUCAGUUAGGGACUCUGUUGAGCAGCGGGGCGAUCGGUACAUCAACAGAAGCCCCAGUCUAUCCCUGGUCCCCAAAGGUAAGUACACACAUUCGAUAUUGUCUGACACUUCAACAGGGAUCCUGGCAAGGGAAAGGUUAUUCUUAUAGACCACAGCCACUCCACCUCCCCACCCAUGGUCCCUCCCCUGCUUAAGGCGGAGGAACUGACCAAUAUCACUAUCAGUAGAUCCCAAUUAAAAGCCAAUUGGUCAUGGCACAGAGUUGGGGUCGGAAGAUUUUUCGCCUCACUCACGGCACACUCCCAGCAAUGCUGGUAAACAGAGAUUGGGACUCAACAUGCACAAUGCAUUGGAGGAUUCCCCCAAGGAAUGUGUGUUCUAGGUGCUCAUCUCUCUGUGUGGCUGCCCAUAGCCCGGGUUAAGGGAGCACUCACUCCCUUAGCCUUGGCUAACAGCUGGGCUAAGAAGCAGGGUUAGGUGGCUCUGCCCCUCUGGGAUUGGGCCCGAUCCUGGCAGUUCUCACACAGAGUGUAACCCAGGCUGGACAUCCCUAGCCUGCAUUAGAAUGCUCAUGAGAACAGCCUCGAUAUGUGUUUUUAAAUUGUUCCUAUUUGCAUGUAACUUAUUUUGUUUUGAAAAAUCAGAAAUAAUUUUAAGUGUUAAAAAUCAACCCUUUAAACAUUAAUCAUUUACGAAGUUUUACUGCUAUACAAUUUUGUUCAUUUAGCUGUGUGUGUGCAGGCACAUAAAACUCAAUUCAAUUAA